rnacentral:lncRNA from 1 species
GAAAAGUCCCAUGGCAAAGAGAAUGGAUAAAGGGAGGUGUUGCGACAUUGAGGCUCAUGAUUCCAUCCAACGCAAGGGCAUCUCCCAGGACCGAUAUCUUCUUUGGAUCACUGGCGUUGGUGCUUAUUAUUAACCUCCAGCUUGGCUUGGAAAAAUCGAGUCCCGAGAUGAAUUGAUCAGCUCAUUGAAAAUAAAUAUGCAAGCUUCAUAGAAGAUAUGAAAUUCAAGUACACAGCAAAAUCCAUCAUUGAUCUGCCCCGUGGGAAAUCAGGAGGGAACGGGCGCUCGACCUCGCAGAGGGAACGGUUUCCAGCACUGAUGCUAUUGCUGACUUGAUGUUUGAUAUUGACUGUGUCCUUCCUAUCCUGAGGACCUCUGUUUCCUCAUCUCUUAAACCCCUUCCAUAAUCUCCGUGGUCCAGCAAAAGCUGGGGGUCAAUGGCAUGACUUGGUCAUGGUCCCAGAGAGAAUCUGAAAAGGCCAAGCCCAGAAUCCUGGUCUGGAGCUUUUUCCAGUACGUGUAACAACAUCUCACAAACACCAACUUAGCACUCACUCCAUGCUGGGUGUGGUGGCAGGUGUUACGGGUACAAAGAUGGAAGAGCAAGGUCCCUGCCCUCAAAGGGCCGACAAUUAGC